rnacentral:rRNA from 1 species
AGAAUCAACGCUGGCGGCGUGCCUAACACAUGCAAGUCGAACGCGAAGCCCGCCUUCGGGGGGUGGUAGCGUGGCGCACGGGUGAGUAACACGUGGGUAAUCUGCCUUCGGGUGGGGGAUAACGGCGCGAAAGCGUCGCUAAUACCGCAUAACGCAGCGGCACCACAUGGUGACAGUUGUUAAAGGGGGGAUCCUUUCGGGGACCUCCCGCCGGAAGAGGAGCCCGCGCUCGAUUAGCUAGUUGGUGAGGUAAUGGCUCACCAAGGCAGUGAUCGAUAGCC